AGGAACACAGGUUAUAUGAUCUUGUUGACGGGUCUGGGAUUGUUAAGACGUUAAGUUUUCUACAGGUAAUUGGAGGAUAGUGCGAAUGGAGUAUCUUCAUAGUAGCUCGCUAUGGGGGAAAGGCUCAUUUGCUGUUUUCGAAUCUAAGCUGAUAAAAGAAUAAAGUAGUUAAAACAUGUACCUUCAUCACCUUCAGUUGCUUGUUUACCCAAGGAAGCCCCUUUUUUACUAGAACAGAAACAGAAACAAUUCAUCACCAACUUCUUGUGUUUAUCAAUGCUCACAAUCAAUCAAACCCCAGCCCUGUCAAGGUAAACAAUU